UGCGGAGGGUGCGAGCGUUGUUCGGAAUCACUGGGCGUAAAGCGCGUGUAGGCGGUCUACUAAGUCUGAUGUGAAAGCCCGGGGCUCACCCCCGGAAGUGCAUUGGAAACUGGCAGACUGGAGUCCCGGAGAGGAGGGUGGAAUUCCUGGUGUAGCGGUGAAAUGCGUAGAUAUCAGGAGGAACACCGGUGGCGAAGGCGGCCCUCUGGACGGUGACUGACGCUGAGACGCGAAAGCGUGGGGAGCAAACAGG
rnacentral:rRNA from 1 species